GACAGAGGAUGCAAGCGUUAUCCGGAAUGAUUGGCGUAAAGCGUCUGUAGGUGGCUUUUAAGUCCGCCGUCGAAAUCCCAGGGACUCCAACCCUGGACAGGGCGGUGGAAACUACCCAAACGCCUGGAGUACGGUAGGGGCAGGAGGGAAUUUCCGGUGGAGCGGUGAAAUGCGUAGAGAUACGGAAAGAACUCCAACGAGAAAG
rnacentral:rRNA from 1 species